GAACCAGCUGCAUUAACUCAGAUAUUUAAAAAUCUUUCUCCUGACAGCUUCCCUUCAAGGAUGUAGAGCUCUUGGCAGUGUAGAAAGCAGGAAGUGCAGAACCCUGGGGAUGGAGGCCCUAAGACCGUUGCACCAAGAAGAAAGAGAAGUCCAGGAGGCACCAAUGCUACUGCCAGGAGUGACACUGAACAGAUCAGAGGAGACCAAAGAAGACCAGAAGUGAAAGGCAAGGGCCUGUCUAGGGAUCAGUGUAUUAUGGAAAUAAUUGUGCGACUGAGAUGGUGGUGUUGAUGUGUGAAGGCUUUGGAUUCACUGACAAUGGAUGGAUGUUCUGGAGAGGAGGACUGCUAUCAAGACAUGGGAUCCAUCCAUCCUUCUACCACCACAGCAAACAAUCCAGAAGGGAAAGAUCCAGAAGAAGCUUCUCAAGUCUGGGAUAUUGCCAGAGAGAUGUAGAAUGGCAAAAAAAGGAUGCAAAAGGGAAACGAGAAACCUUGGAGCGGGCGAAUAUGCUGUUACUCCAUGUAUGGUUGUCCAAGACAGCUUCUCUCUCUCAUGGUCAGAGAUGCAGAUGAUCUGCUAGGCCAGCCCCCGCUGUCUCCUGGGGAUUCACAUGUCAAAUGAUCGAACUUUGGAACCGCCGACUCCAGCACACGCAUCACGCAGCGUGAAGUGCCCAGGUGAGCACAGGUCAGCCCAAGCUCGUGUCCAUGGAGCUCAGCAGCAUGCUCUGGAGUGAAGGCUGAGCAGCACGUGCGGUAUUUCAUUUUCAUGCUUUUAAAAUGGACAGUCUGAUCAACAACUAUAGCUUCCAAAACUCUGCCAGGAAACCUGGGCUAAAGGCCUAUCAGCAGAAGAGGAACUCUGCGCAGAGCUGGAACUGUAAUAGACUCAUGAGGGAUUUUUUUUUUUAACUAAGACUUGAGGAUCGAGUGGAUACUACAUUAUACCAUUAUUAUAGCUUCAAUAUUUUUCUUUAACUGGAUUGUUUAUUAUGCAUGAGUUGAGACACAAAUGUGGAAUAAAUGAAGCUGAGAUAUCAAAUUAAUGCUGUGAUCUUGGUUCCCCCUUCUCCCUGCUUUGUUGCCAUAACAAUCUGUGACACUUGAAGCAACAAUAAAAUU